CCGGGGGAGGUGCUAUACAUGCAGUCGAGCGGACAGAAGGGAGCUUGCUCCCGGAUGUUAGCGGCGGACGGGUGAGUAACACGUGGGUAACCUGCCUGUAAGACUGGGAUAACUCCGGGAAACCGGAGCUAAUACCGGAUAGUUCCUUGAACCGCAUGGUUCAAGGAUGAAAGACGGUUUCGGCUGUCACUUACAGAUGGACCCGCGGCGCAUUAGCUAGUUGGUGGGGUAAUGGCUCACCAAGGCGACGAUGCGUAGCCGACCUGAGAGGGUGAUCGGCCACACUGGGACUGAGACACGGCCCAGACUCCUACGGGAGGCAGCAGUAGGGAAUCUUCCGCAAUGGACGAAAGUCUGACGGAGCAACGCCGCGUGAGUGAUGAAGGUUUUCGGAUCGUAAAGCUCUGUUGUUAGGGAAGAACAAGUGCGAGAGUAACUGCUCGCACCUUGACGGUACCUAACCAGAAAGCCACGGCUAACUACGUGCCAGCAGCCGGGGGUAAUACA
rnacentral:rRNA from 1 species